GGAUCAUGACUGGAAAACAAGAAAACUAAGGCAAGAGAAGAGAAAGCUUAGCCCUGUGCUGUCCUUCAGGGCAAGACAAAAGGAAGGAUCUGGAAGCCAUGUUGGACACUUUCACUUUCUGCAAGGAGAAAAAGACAGUGAAGAAAACUGACAGCCAGAAAAAUGAGACAAACUACUUAGUAAUUUUCAUCUCGGAUUGGAUCAUGGCCUUCAGCAAGUAAUUUCAGUUCAGCAAGCCUGCACAGAUUGAAGAAAGGUUCUUGAAGCAUGUGAAACUCCCAAAGCUGAAGAUUUGUUAAGAAAGCUUUCUGAAUCACUCUGAAUAAGUAAGGAGGCUGAGUAUAUGAACCUUUCCUGAACAAACUCCUUAAAUUUAUUCAAGUAAUGAUGCCAAAUAAAGAAUAAAAUGCUUACUGCA
rnacentral:lncRNA from 1 species